GAUGAACGCUGGCGGCGUGCCUAAUACAUGCAAGUCGAGCGAACAGAUGAGGAGCUUGCUCCUCUGACGUUAGCGGCGGACGGGUGAGUAACACGUGGAUAACCUACCUAUAAGACUGGGAUAACUUCGGGAAACCGGAGCUAAUACCGGAUAAUAUAUUGAACCGCAUGGUUCAAUAGUGAAAGACGGCUUUGCUGUCACUUAUAGAUGGAUCCGCGCCGCAUUAGCUAGUUGGUAAGGUAACGGCUUACCAAGGCAACGAUGCGUAGCCGACCUGAGAGGGUGAUCAGCCACACUGGAACUGAGACACGGUCCAGACUCCUACGGGAGGCAGCAGUAGGGAAUCUUCCGCAAUGGGCGAAAGCCUGACGGAGCAACGCCGCGUGAGUGAUGAAGGUCUUCGGAUCGUAAAACUCUGUUAUUAGGGAAGAACAAAUGUGUAAGUAACUAUGCACGUCUUGACGGUACCUAAUCAGAAAGCCACGGCUAACUACGUG
rnacentral:rRNA from 1 species